CCUACGGGCGGCAGCAGUGAGGAAUAUUGGUCAAUGGGCGCGAGCCUGAACCAGCCAAGUAGCGUGAAGGAUGACUGCACUAAGGGUUGUAAACUUCUUUUAUAAGGGAAUAAAGUGAGGCACGUGUGCCUUUUUGUAUGUACUUUAUGAAUAAGGAUCGGCUAACUCCGUGCCAGCAGCCGCGGUAAUACGGAGGAUCCGAGCGUUAUCCGGAUUUAUUGGGUUUAAAGGGAGCGUAGAUGGGUUGUUAAGUCAGUUGUGAAAGUUUGCGGCUCAACCGUAAAAUUGCAGUUGAUACUGGCAGUCUUGAGGUGAGGUGAGGUAGGCGGAAUGCGUGGUGUAGCGGUGAAAUGCUUAGAUAUCACGAAGAACUCCGAUUGCGAAGGCAGCUUACCAGACUGCCACUGACAUUGAUGCUCGAAAGUGUGGGUAUCAAACAGGAUUAGAUACCCGUGUAGUC
rnacentral:rRNA from 1 species